rnacentral:tmRNA from 1 species
GGGAGCGACUUGGCUUCGACAGGAGUAAGUCUGCUUAGAUGGCAUGUCGCUUUGGGCAAAGCGUAAAAAGCCCAAAUAAAAUUAAACGCAAACAACGUUAAAUUCGCUCCUGCUUACGCUAAAGCUGCGUAAGUUCAGUUGAGCCUGAAAUUUAAGUCAUACUAUCUAGCUUAAUUUUCGGUCAUUUUUGAUAGUGUAGCCUUGCGUUUGACAAGCGUUGAGGUGAAAUAAAGUCUUAGCCUUGCUUUUGAGUUUUGGAAGAUGAGCGAAGUAGGGUGAAGUAGUCAUCUUUGCUAAACAUGUAGAAGUCUUUGUGGGAUUAUUUUUGGACAGGGGUUCGAUUCCCCUCGCUUCCACCA